GGGUGCCUCGCGGUGGCGCGGCCGAGCUGCGGAGGGCCGGGCAAGAUGCGCUAUAGGGACCCCCCGCCUCCGAGCGCGCCUCUGUGCUCGCCUCCCUUCCGCCUCCCAAGCGGGGCUGCCCUUAACACCACCGGCCAUCUCCGUUUCUCCGGAUGGUCCCAGGGGAGCGGGCAGCGGCUUUGCUAACUGCCUCUCCUCCUCCGAAAAAGAAGACGUGCAACGUGCGGAGGGGGCGCUCUGGACUGAGGGGACGCGACCUGCGCCCCGGUCGCACCCUUUUCCUCCCCUCUUUUCCCAGCCAGGACCAGAAGAUGCCGAGCCCUUGGCUCACCUGCUGAGUUUCUACUUCUUAUGAUUGUGAUCCAGAGACAAGUGAUAUCUUCCCCAGAAGUCUGGUAUCCUAAAGAUGUGCUUGAUUGCUGUUCCCAAAUCCAAUGGCUAUGAAGACCAGGAUGAUGGUGUUACAGUCUAAUCUAUCUAGAGAGAUCCAGACUGGGAAAGGUUACAUAAAAUGGAGGAA